rnacentral:lncRNA from 1 species
CUCACAUACAAAUGCACGUGCACACACACAGUCUCGUCUCGGGAAGUGCUAGGAUUACAGGCGUGAGCCACCACACACAGCCGAGGAAACAUCUCUUUAGCCAGAUUUGGGCCUGGCGACAUAGGAACUGAAGAAGGCAGAAAGUAUCUGGCACUCAGCAGGGGCUCCUCUACUGGAUGGGUGGAUGGAUAUAUGGAUGGUAGGUGGAUGAGUGACUGGAUGAUUGGAUGGAUGGGUGGAUGGGUGAGUGAAAGGAUGGAUAGGUGGGUGGGAUAAGUGGUUGGAUAAAUGGAUGGAUAGGUGGGUGCAUGGGUAGGUGGAUGGAUGGAUGGAUGAAUGGAUAGAUGGAUGAAUGGAUGGGUGGAUGCAAAGAUAGAUGAAUGGAUGGAUGAAUGGGUGGGUGGGUGGGUGGAUGGAUGGGCGGAUGGAUAGAUGGAUGGGUGGGUUGGUGGAUGAGUGAGAGUGGCUAAUUGGAUACAUGGGUGGAUAGAUGAACAGAUGGAUGGGUGGGUGAAUGGAUGGAUAGAUAAGUGGGAUAAGUGGUUGGAUGGAUAGAUGGAUAGGUGUAUGGACGGAUGGACAGGUGAGUGUGUGGGUAGGUGGAUGGAUAGAUGGGUGGGUGGACGGAUGGAUGGAUACAUUAAUAGAUGGAUGGGUGGGUGGGUGUACGAAUGGAUGGAUGGAUGGGUGGGUGGAUGGAUAGAUGGAUGGAUGAUUGGGCGGGUGGGUGGAUGGAUGGGUGGAUGGAUACAUGGAAGGGUGGGUGGGUGAAUGGAUGAAUGGGUGGGUGGAUGGAUGGAUGGAUAGAUAGGUGGGUGGAUGGAUGGGUGGGUGGAUGGUAGAUGGAUGGAUGGAUGGGUUGGUGCGUAGAUGGAUAGAUGGAUGGGUGGGUGGGUGGGUGAAUAGAUGAAUGGGUGGGUGGAUGGGUAGAUGGAUGGAUGGUUGGAUGGGUGGGUGAAUGGAUGAAUGGGUGGGUGGAUGGAUGGAUGGAUAGAUAGGUGGGUGGAUGGAUGGUAGAUGGAUGGGUGGGUGGGUGGAUGGGUAGAUGGAUGGAUGGUUGGAUGGGUGGGUGAAUGGAUGAAUGGGUGGGUGGAUGGAUGGAUGGAUAGAUAGGUGGGUGGAUGGAUGGUAGAUGGAUGGGUGGGUGGGUGGAUGGAUGGAUGGGUGGGUAGAUGGGUGGAUGGAUGGAUGGGUGGGUGGGAUAAGUGGUUGGAUGGUUAGAUGGAUGGAUGGAUGGAUGGAUGGAUGGAUGGAUGGAUGGAUGAAUAGAUAGGUGGGUGGAUAGAUGGGUGCGUGGAUGGUAGAUGGAUGGAUGGAUGGGUGGGUGGGUAGAUGGGUAGAUGGAUGGAUGGAUGGAUGGUAGAUGGAUGGAUGGGUGGAUGGAUACAUGGAUGGGUGGGUGAAUGGAUAAAUGGGUGGGUGGAUGGAUGGAUGGAUGGAUAGAUAGGUGGGUGGAUGGAUGGGUGGGUGGAUGGUAG